rnacentral:lncRNA from 1 species
GCCACGAAUCACCGCGGGAAACGUUUUUAUUAUUAUUAUUAUUUUUAGCAGCUGUUUUUAUUAUUAUUUAAAACUCUGUAAGUGUUUCUAACUUUUCGGCUAACACACACGAGGAGCACGUAUAGAGUUUGACUUCCUUGUAAUCAUUUUUGUUUCCAGACAUCAAAUAAGUUUUUUUUUUGUAUAGUAACAAAGAAAAAAAAUAUUAAUCACAAGUCUUUGUGCAGCACAGCAGCCAAACACCACCAAAUUUACGUUGGCCGUUGAAGCACACACCAAACAGGAACUCCUGUAACAAUCCGACCACCAUAGCCAUCAAUAGCCGGAGGCUCCGAUCUUGGUCUCCACAGACCCGUCUCCGCUGCUUGCGACGAACAAGCUCCAUAAUCUUUCAUCGCCGUGGAAGAAGAUUUGAACUCAUCUGUGGAAUAAGGUUUAACCAUGAUUGAAACAUUCACGAUUCCACACUUAUCCCCAUAUUCAUCUCUUAACCUAUAGCUCAAGAAAUUCAAAUGUCCUUCAGGUGAAUACCUUCCCAUGAAGUCUGACGUUGGGAUCUUAGCUUCUCCUAUCUUCUUCUCGCGUCCAGAACUUGUUCGAAACAACACCUCGAUGUAGAUGAACUGUUCAGUCCCGCUCAUGGGCAUCUCCAACUUGCAGUUCCACGUUGG